GGAGUGCCACAAGAGGAUCAAAGAUGAGACAUCAGCAAAUGUGUCCUCUAAAAGAACUAAAACUAAAGCAUACACAAUACCUGCUGAGUUAUUUUAGACCUUAUCUCCUCACACAGAAAGUGUUUAAACUGCAGUCUGACUUUAAAAACCUCUCACAGAACCAGAAAGCGUUCCUACGUAGAACCUUUAUCUGUAGCCUGGAUCUUUCCCACAGUCUUUGAAGUGGGAUUGUUUGGUAUGCAGGACGCGUCACGCCCUCCCCGUCAGCCCACUGCGCUCUGCAGUAAUCACCAUUACUCACAUCUGACACCAGCUGAGCUCCCACAACACAUCCUGCUUUAAUUGAGACGCAAUCAUAUCGGGGAUUUUUCAUUAACACACAACGGCAUGUAGUUCAGCUUCCGCUUGAACCCCCAAAAUGUGUGUUUUCCUUCAGCGGGGGACGAUGGAUCUUAAUUAUAAAUGUGAUGAUUGGACAAAAGUUGCAGUUGGUAAACAUGUUUGCUGUGGCUGCAGGGCUCACAGCAGACUGUAUCUCUGGCACCGCGUCAACGCCGCCCAAGAAGCUGUCGACAGGCCACACUGCUGUUCUUCCUUCAGAUCGACUGGACCUUCCUCCUCCUCCUCUUCUUCUUCUCUGGAGGAAAUUUCUGAUUAUUUAAAUGUUUUUUGAAGCUUUUAGUGUCUUAAAGAAGGCGGUUGCUAACGAGUCAACGUGUCAGUUAAAACCAGUAAAAUCACUGAAUACAGCAGUUCCACCUUAAAAAUCUCUGUUUCUCUGUCCCAGUUUUUGAUAAAAAUGAUGAUCUAAAACUCCCACAAUGCCCCACACCCACAACACAGGACCUGAUCUCGCUGUCCUCAGUCGUCCAUCUUUCCUUCCUGGUCCUCCUUUCUGACAGCCGACUGGACGAUGCCAAACUCCACCGAGUGUUUCUGCUCACUUUCAUGCACCAUGAAAUAUUCACAGCCGAAUGCGUGUCCUGUUUAUUAUUCAUGAGCUCACUUGACAUCUCUGAAUCAUUCCACACACACACACACACACACACACACACACACACACAGGCUCAUAUUUGCAUAGGCCUGCUGAGAAAUGCUGAGUUGGACACGUGAAGACGCAUUCAUGGACACACACAGUGGAGAGCUGGAUGCUGAAAAAUACCAAAUACUACCAAUACUGUCCAAUCAGAUUCUUCUGAUGAUUCCAGUUCCUGUAAGUCGUGUUAGUGCCUCCAGUAAACGGAGGGAGUUCA